GUAGGGAAUAUUGGACAAUGGGGGCAACCCUGAUCCAGCGACGCCGCGUGAGUGACGAAGGCCUUCGGGUCGUAAAGCUCUGUUGCAAGGGAAAAACAAAAUGAUGGUACCUUGCUAGAAAGGAUCGGCUAACUUCGUGCCAGCAGCCGCGGUAAGACGAGGGAUCCUAGCGUUGUUCGGAAUUAUUGGGCGUAAAGCGGGUGUAGGUGGCUUUGUAAGUCAGGUGUGAAAGCCUGGGGCUUAACCCCAGAAGUGCAUUUGAUACUGCGAAGCUUGAGUGCUGGAGAGGCUACUAGAAUUCUUGGUGUAGUGGUGAAAUACGUAGAUAUCAAGAGGAAUACCGGAGGCGAAGGCGGGUAGCUGGCCAGACACUGACACUCAGACCCGAAAGCGUGGGGAUCGAACAGGAUUAGAUACCCUAGUAGUCC
rnacentral:rRNA from 1 species